UACGUAGGGUGCAAGCGUUGUCCGGAAUUAUUGGGCGUAAAGGGCUCGUAGGCGGCCAACUAAGUCAGACGUGAAAUCCCUCAGCUUAACUGGGGAACUGCGUCUGAUACUGGAUGGCUUGGAUCCGGAAGAGGGAUGCGGAAUUCCAGGUGUAGCGGUGAAAUGCGUAGAUAUCUGGAGGAACACCGGUGGCGAAGGCGGCAUCCUGGGCCGGUAUUGACGCUGAGGAGCGAAAGCCAGGGGAGCAAACGGG
rnacentral:rRNA from 1 species